GUCCCAGCUGCACAGUGGAACAGUCCUGGCCCCGUGGCUGCUGCCUGACCGUGGGCACAGAGCCUCUGGGAGCUCCUGACCUCCUUUGCAAAGCACCUGCAGCUGAGUGGGUGGGGAUCAGCAGCUCCGAGGAGCCUGGGGAGAGCAGGGAACCCGCUUCUCACUGGCUACACCUGGCAAUUAAAUCCUGAGCAUGGCAGCAGCUCUGCUCCCCGAGGAAUUGUGUUCCACCCACCAAAGCCGGACCCGUGGCUGGGUUGGCUGAGCACGCAGCACUCGUGUGAUCCCAGCAAAGACUGGAUUUAACAGCACUUGCUGGCAGAGUUCCUUCCCCUGUUGGGCACAUACAGCUCCUGACCUGCAUUUGGUUCCCCCUUAUCUACAGGAGAGACAAUUCCAGCCUCUGUAAUUAAUGGCUCUGUCCUGCCAGGGUCUCGGGUGAAGCAUCAACACGGGAAAUUGGCCAGGCUAAGUGGUGCCUGUGCCUGGAUCCUGGCUGCAAAGGCAGCCCUCAGCCAGCUGAGAUGAAUUGUGGUUUAGUUGCUGAAUUCAUUUUUCAUCCUUGGGUCUGAUGGCAGGCGCAGGAAUAGUUCCUGUGCAGCCCGGGUGUAACUCCUCCACCUGCAGCCUCAUUUGUUGCAGAUAUCCCAUGAGCUGAUGGAGAUCCAGGGCUUGUUGGGCUCUGUCCCUGGGGAUUACCCGUGCUGGGGUUUUGCAAUGGCAUUCAGGGGACCAGACAGUCCAACACCACUCCUCAGGGGGAUAAGGUUACAAGAUAAGGGGUUAAUUCUCAGGGAGCUGCUGAAAGGCAGCACAACCACUCUGAUUUGACCUGGCACUUGGUGACUCUCUCAGCUCUCCCUGAACAUUGGUUCUGAGGUGCUGUCAGGCUCCCACACAUGGUGAUGGUGUGCUCUGUAUCCUUCCUUUCAGAAAAAGCCAAUUUAUCUCACUUGUAGUGAAGCAUAAUCUUAACCAUGCACCAGGAGACUCCUGUUCCUGUACCCCUGUGCUCACCUGCUUUCCUCUCUCUCUCUUCUUCACUUUCCCUGCUUCUUGUCUGCCUCCCCCUUCACUUCAUCUCUUUUUCCCUCACCCUUCCUUCCCGUGUAGCUCCUGCUUGGCAGGGAGCUGUGGCCACCUCUGUCUCAAAGGUUCAGCAGUGUUCACCUUGGGCUGUGUCUGUGUGUGGGACAGAGCCCCUCAAGGAACUGGCUAACCAGGAGAAAGUGGAGAUCCAAGAAAAGCCUCCUAAUCCAUUAUCAGCAAAUGCAAUCAGACUCUCCAUCUGCUAUCCCAGGCCCCUGCAAGCCCCACAACUGGGAGCCAGCCCCUGCUGCCUCCUGCACAGAUGUUUGGUCACCGUGUGCCUUCGCUGCCUCUCUCUGCAUUCAGCCUGGUGUCACCUCAGAUUAGUGGGCUCGUGCUCAGAGCCCGUGCCUGCCCUCGGGAAGAGCCAGGUAAAGCUGACAAGCUGAGGCAAGCACACCUUGGCUGGGAAACAAGAGCUGGGUGGUUCAUGGAGCCACGUUAAAUUUAGUGCUGCGUGCUCUGGUAUGGAAAUGAGAGCCUUGGCUUGGCCAGGAUUGCGUGGGAGAGAGUCUGCAGGAGGAGGAGGAGACAGAAAGAACCUCUUGUGAUGGGUGUUUGUUACUGACACAGGUUGGGAGUGCUUGGUUUCCCUCCCCCUGCCUCUCAAUCACAGAACAGUUCGGGUUGGAAGGGACCUUAAGGAUCAUCUCAUCCAGCCCCUGCAAGGGCAGGGACACUUCCACCAGACCAUGUUGUGCAGAGUCCCAUCCAACCUGUCCUUGGACACUGGCCUCAGACCUGUUCACACUGGAGCACUGGCAGCAUCUGGGAAGCCUUAGGACGUGUGUCAGGUCUGUGGGUGGUCACCAGGGGGACAGCUCUGCCUCGGAGGAAUCCGUGAGCUAAGCCAGGGACCCUUCUUUGCAAGGAGGGCACAAAGAUAUGACCUGGCUGCUCGAUGGCACCUGAGUGUGGAGCCCAGAUUUGCAGGCAGGGCUGUGGUGUGGCCCUACAACACCAUCCUUCCUUCUCCUCUGGUCAUCACAGCAUCCCAGAGGGGCUGAGGUUGGAAAGGUUGUCUGGCCCCACCUCCUGCUCAAGCAAGGCCUCCACCAGCAGGUGUGCCAGGACUAUUCCAGCUGGAUUUUAGGCAUCUCCAAGGAUGGCAAACACCACCUCUCUCCCCUCAGGGGAUGAGUUCACUCCAUGAGCAGCAUGGCAAUGGGGCUCAGGGGGCUGGCCCAUGUUUGUACCCGAGCUGGUGGCCCUGGUUUGCCUCAGUGGCAGCACUGGAGCAGCAGUGGGGUGCUGGGAUGGAGAUCAGCCAGCAGAGCACCGGGUGUGCAGCCACGAGGGCGCAUUUCAGUCUGUUCCAACCAUGCCAUGCUUUGUCCACCAGCCCCAUAGUAAUAUUUGGGCACCUUCUAGCAUUUCCUACUUGUCCUCUUUUUUCCUGAGUCCUUUGAAAUAUUCAUUAUCCAGGAUAAAAAUCUGUCCCAGGUAAUGUCAGGAUUCAACUGCACAAAAAUGAGAAAAAGAGCCAAAGUAACAGCAGGUAAAGAAUGGUUUAAUUUAGUAACUAAUUUUCUAUAAAGUAAUUAUUUCUUUAAAAACCUGGGGUUUGCUUGAAGUAUCCCAAUUACUUUUUUCAUUAUGGCUACAGAAUGAAGUGCUUGUUUAAUUAGUAAACAUUUGGCAUGCCUUUAAAUAGGUUUUUAAUUACAUUAAAGGGACACUGUCAAGGUGUCUUUCAUAGUUUUUAACAGACCUGGAUUUCUUUUUUCCCCUCACUCACAGUUGGAUGCAACUCCUUGGGUUUGAUUGGCUGUUCCAGACAAAAACUGGAGAAGCCAUUUCCCUGGAAAAGAUUAAAAAGAAACACUCAUUUGUGGGUUUGGAGCUGAGCUGUGCUCUCCCCACCUCCUGUUUCUCAACUUGCUGCCAGCAGGGCUUGGAGCCUCCUUUGCAUCUCUGCUGCCCCAGCCAGCCCUGAGGGUGACCCUGUGCUGAACACCCAGAGCUAAACCAGCAGCUUCUGCCCCCAAAAUCUCCCUGUGCUGCUCCCUGGUGCAGCAGACGCCUGUUCUGCAGCCUCACAGCUGCUCCCAGGAGUAGCUCUCCUAAUAAAUCACCAGUGCUCUAACUGAGCUUGAUGCGAGCUCCUGGAGGAAAUUUGGCUCCGGGUGAGUCCCCAGGCUCCUGCCUGCCUUUGGAUCCUCAGCCUGCUCCUUCCCUGGGCUGGGAGAUGCUGCUGGCAGAGGCCAAACCUGAUUAAGCUGCUGGUGCUGGGGUGCUGCUCGUGCCCUGCCCGGCGUGGGGAGGCUGGACAUGCCCGUGGUCAGUGUGUGAUGGAUGAGGCUCAGAGUGGCUGCCCUGAGCUGUGUCCCCCCUCUCUGCUCGCAAGGAGCUGAGGCCUCUGCUCCGUUUUUGGGGCAGGUUCACUAAUUGAAAUGGAUGGGAGUUGCUGCAGGCAGAGGCAGCUGGGCUUGAGCAAAGGGUUCCUGGGGUGUCCCCGAAGGGGAAGCAAACAGCAGAACCAGAGUGUGGGGGGGUGUGACACAGGGGCUGGUUGGGGACCUGUGCCAGUCCUUUCUGCCCCCUCUAAGCCAUGUCCCUGCUCUCUCCCCAGAUGUUUUACAGGCCGAACAAGCAGACUGAAGUGCCUCUGGUUUAAUUUCUGCCUGCGUUUCAGACAUCCUCACUCUCCUCUGAGGAGCAGGAGCUGCAGGGAAUGAAAAUAUCCAGUGUCUUUGUUUUAAUAUCGUUGACUUUCUGCUCUGCUGGGUCCUGGCAGGCUCCCCUGAGGCCACAUCCUUCUCCAGCAUGCUCUGAGCACCUCUUCUUGGUUUCCUCAAGUUUUCCCCUUACUCCCAUCUGUUCUCCUCCUCCCUAUCCACCACCUGCUCCUUCUUCCUCCUGCUCUGUUGGCUCUCCACAAAGUCCUUUGCUUCUCCUGCAGUGACUGUCACCUCCCCCAUGUGGCCUUGGGUCCAGGUGCUGAGUCGUCCUGACCCCAAAGCAGAUGGAGAUGUGGAGCACUGGCAA